AUUGAACGCUGGCGGCAGGCCUAACACAUGCAAGUCGAGCGAGAGGCGGACGGGUGAGUAAUGUCUGGGAAACUGCCUGAGGGAGGGGGAGAACUCCUGGAAAAGGUAGCUAAUACCGCAUACCAUCAGAUGUGCCCAGAUGGGAUGAGCUAGUAGGUGGGGUAAUGGCUCACCUAGGCGACGAUCCCUAGCUGGGGUGAGAGGAUGACCAGCCACACUGGAACGGAGACACGGUCCAGACUCCUACGGGAGGCAGCAGUGGGGAAUAUUGCACAAUGGGCGCAAGCCUGAUGCAGCCAUGCCGCGUGUGUGAAGAAGGCCUUCGGGUUGUAAAGCACUUUCAGCGGGGAGGCGUUACCCGCAGAAGAAGCACCGGCUAACUCCGUGCCAGCAGCCGCGGUAAUUC
rnacentral:rRNA from 1 species